rnacentral:rRNA from 1 species
GCGAGGUAAAAGCUGGCCUCUAUACAUAAGCUAGCACUUGAGGAUGAGCCCGCGGCGCAUCAGCUUGUUGGUGAGGUAAUGGCUCACCAAGGCUAAGACGCGUAGCUGGUCUGAGAGGAUGAUCAGCCACACUGGAACUGAGACACGGUCCAGACUCCUACGGGAGGCAGCAGUGGGGAAUCUUGCGCAAUGGGCGAAAGCCUGACGCAGCGACGCCGCGUGAGUGAUGAAGGCCUUCGGGUUGUAAAGCUCUGUGGGGCGAGACGAAUAAGUGCAGCCUAAUACGCUGCAUGAUGACGGUAUCGCCUUAGCAAGCACCGGCUAACUCUGUGCCAGCAGCCGCGGUAA